rnacentral:rRNA from 1 species
UACGUAGGGGGCAAGCGUUGUCCGGAUUUAUUGGGCGUAAAGAGCGUGUAGGCGGCCAUACAGGUCCGUUGUGAAAACUGGAGGCUUAACCUCCAGACGUCGAUGGAAACCGUAUGGCUAGAGUCCGGAAGAGGAGAGUGGAAUUCCUGGUGUAGCGGUGAAAUGCGCAGAUAUCAGGAAGAACACCCGUGGCUAAGGCGGUUCUCUAGUACGGUACUGACGCUGAGGCGCGAAAGCUAGGGGAGCAAACAGG